GACGAACGCUGGCGGCGUGCUUAACACAUGCAAGUCGAACGGAAAGGCCCUGCUUUUGUGGGGUGCUCGAGUGGCGAACGGGUGAGUAACACGUGAGUAACCUGCCCUUGACUUUGGGAUAACUUCAGGAAACUGGGGCUAAUAACGGAUAGGAGCUCCUGCUGCAUGGUGGGGGUUGGAAAGUUUCGGCGGUUGGGGAUGGACGCGCGGCUUAUCAGCUUGUUGGUGGGGUAGUGGCUUACCAAGGCUUUGACGGGUAGCCGGCCUGGGAGGGUGACCGGCGACAUUGGGACUGAGAGACGGCCCAGAGUCCUACAGGGGGCAGCAGUGGGGAAUAUUGCACAAUGGGCGGAAGCCUGAUGCAGCAACGCCGCGUGCGGGAUGACGGCCUUCGGGUUGUAAACCGCUUUCGCCUGUGACGAAGCGUGAGUGACGGUAAUGGGUAAAGAAGCACCGGCUAACUACGUG
rnacentral:rRNA from 1 species